CCUUGUGGAGGAGGACGCCGAAGGUGGGGCUAAUGACUGGGGUGAAGUCGUAACAAGGUAGCCGUACCGGAAGGUGCGGCUGGAUCACCUCCUAACAGGGAGACAACAAAAUGUUUAAUAUUAUUAUUUUGUCACCUUAGGUCGAUCGGUAUCUCACAUUCUUAAUUUAUUAAGGAUUUUAUUUCCUAAGUUUUUUCUAGGUCACACCCAUUACUUUUCCUGGGCCAUUAGCUCAGGUGGUUAGAGCGCACCCCUGAUAAGGGUGAGGUCCCUGGUUCAAGUCCAGGAUGGCCCAUAUCUCUAUGUUGGGGGUAUAGCUCAGUUGGUAGAGCGCCUGCUUUGCAAGCAGGAUGUCAGCGGUUCGAGUCCGCUUACCUCCACUGAUUACCACCUCUUCCAUAAUUUUUAUUAAGGAAAUGUUUUGAGUAGUGAUCAAAUUCUGAACGAAUCUAGCUUCCUAAUGAAUUCAUUAAGAUGCUGGACUCAUUGAAUUAUUUUCAUUGUUUUCAGAGAACCUUGACAACUGCAUAGAUUAUUUUUAAAGACAAUAAGCAUCUUUAUGAUGCAGAUUUAUUAUUUGUGCGAAUGCAUUAAUAACAAUUCUAUUAAGCUGAUGCUUCAAUUAUGAAGUUAUUGGUCAAGCUACAAAGGGCUCACGGAGGAUACCUAGGCACACAGAG
rnacentral:misc_RNA from 1 species